GGAAGGAUCAUUACAAGUGAAGCCGGGAAACCGGAUUCUCAAACCACUGUGAACCAAACUCUCCGUUGCUUGGCGGGUGAAAACCUCUUCUGGAGGCUGCCUACCCGGCGCACCCGCCAAGUUUUUCAAACCUUCCGUCGAUGAACGUCUGAUUUUUAUAUUCUUAAUUGAAAAUACAACUUUCAACAAUGGAUCUCUUGGCUCCGGCAUCGAUGAAGAACGCAGCGAAAUGCGAUAGCUAGUGUGAAUUGCAGAUUUCAGUGAAUCAUCGAGUUUUUGAACGCACAUUGCGCCCCUUGGUAUUCCUCGGGGCAUGCCUAUUCGAGCGUCGUUUACCCCCCUCAAGCCUGGCUUGGUGUUGGAGCGCGCCGCGAAAGCGGCGGCUCUCGAAAUCAUCGGCGGUGCCGUGCGGCCUGGAACGCAGCAAACAUGCAGACCAGCCGCUCUACGCCUGCCGGACAAGCGUGUUCUUACGCACACCUUUUACCACUUGACCUCGAAUUAGGUAGGGAUACCCGCUGAACUUAAGCAUAUCAAUAAGCGGAGGAAAAGAAACCAACAGGGAUUGCCUCAGUAACGGCGAGUGAAGCGGCAACAGCUCAAAUUUGAAAUCUGGCGCUUUCAGCGUCCGAGUUGUAAUUUGUAGAGGAUGCUUCGGCGUCGGCGCCACCUAAAGUUCCUUGGAACGGGACGUCAAAGAGGGUGAGAGCCCCGUGUCUGGGUGGAUGACUUCGCCAUGUGAAGCUCCUUCGACGAGUCGAGUUGUUUGGGAAUGCAGCUCAAAAUGGGAGGUAUAUUUCUUCCAAAGCUAAAUACCGGCCGGAGACCGAUAGUGCACAAGUAGAGUGAUCGAAAGAUGAAAAGCACUUUGGAAAGAGAGUCAAACAGCGCGUGAAAUUGUUGAAAGGGAAGCGCUUGCGGUCAGACUUGGCCGCCGUUGCUCGGCGGGACCUGCGUCCCGUUUGCUCUUCGGCGGUCAGGCCAGCAUCGACUUGGGCGGCUGGAUAAAGGCCGCGGGAACGUGGCUCUUCGGAGUGUUAUAGCCCGCGGUGGAAUGCAGCCUGCCUGGGUCGAGGUCUGCGCAUCUGCUAGGAUGCUGGCGUAAUGGCCCCAAGCGGCCCGUCUUGAAACACGGACCAAGGAGUCUAACAUUCGUGCGAGUGUUCGGGCGUUAAACCCGUGCGCGCAAUGAAAGUGAACGUUGGUGGGAACUUUUGUGCACCAUCGACCGAUCCUAAUGUCUUCGGAUGGAUUUGAGUAUGAGCACGUAUGUUGGGACCCGAAAGAUGGUGAACUAUGCCUAAGCAGGGCGAAGCCAGAGGAAACUCUGGUGGAGGCUCGCAGCGGUUCUGACGUGCAAAUCGAUCGUCAAAUUUGGGUAUAGGGGCGAAAGACUAAUCGAACCAUCUAGUAGCUGGUUCCUGC
rnacentral:misc_RNA from 1 species